AUUGCGAAAUGGACGNAGUCUGACGCAGCAACNCCGCGUGAGGGAUGAAGCACUAUGGUGUUCNAACCUCUGUAGAGAGGGAAGAAAGUUAUAUACUUAAAGGUAUGUAUUUGACGGUACCNCUAAAGUAAGCUCCGGCUAACUCCGUGCCAGCAGCCGCGGUAAUACGGGGGGAGCGAGCGUUGUCCGGAAUCACUGGGCGUAAAGGGCGUGUAGGCUGGUUGGUAAGUCAGAUGUGAAAGGCUGCGGCUUAACCGUAGAUGUGCAUUUGAUACUGCUGAUCUUGAGUGCGAGAGAGGGUAGUGGAAUUCCCAGUGUAGCGGUGAAAUGCGUAGAUAUUGGGAAGAACACCGGUAGCGAAGGCGGCUACCUGGCUCGUAACUGACGCUAAUGCGCGAAAGCGUGGGGAUCAAACAGGAUUAGAUACCCUGGUAGUCCACGCUGUAAACGAUGGGCACUAGGUGUUGGUCUCAUUAUUGGGAUCAGUGCCGCAGCAAACGCAAUAAGUGCCCCGCCUGGGGAGUACGAUCGCAAGGUUGAAACUCAAAGAAAUUGACGGA
rnacentral:rRNA from 1 species